UACGUAGGGGGCAAGCGUUGUCCGGAUUUACUGGGCGUAAAGAGCGCGUAGGCGGGGAAGCAAGUCCGGUGUGAAAGCCCCCAGCUCAACUGGGGAAGGUCGCUGGAAACUGCUUUUCUUGAGGGUGACAGAGGGAAGUGGAAUUGCUGGUGUAGCGGUGAAAUGCGUAGAGAUCAGCAGGAACACCCGUGGCGAAGGCGGCUUCCGUGGGUCACCACUGACGCUGAGGCGCGAAGGUCAGGGAGCAAACGGG
rnacentral:rRNA from 1 species